AAAGGGCUCGACUUAGGUAAGUCGGGUAAGAGUAGCAUGCCGCGGACGCAGGGUGGGCCGCGUUAACAAUCCUUGCACAAUAUAAACGCAAAAACGAACAUCAGUUCGAUGGCAGCAGAAAGAUAUAGUGCCGUUCUUCCUUUAGGUUUAGGAGUGGCACCUAUAUUUACUGCUCCAGCGUUUGCAGCCCUUCCUUAAUUAAAUAAGGAAGGCCUCAACCCGGGAUGCCCACGAUCCGGGAUUGAGCGCAAGUGGGCUAACCAUGCGCUUUUUGCCUUUGGGUGCCUGGUGAAAGUUUAAAAGGCUGCUGCUUGCCUGAUCCUGUCUAUCGGAGCGGGCAAGAGCAAGCGUAAAAGACAGACUAAGCAUGUAGCGACUUUUAUCUGAUUGCUUAGGGACGGCGGUUCGAUUCA
rnacentral:tmRNA from 1 species